UCCUACGGGAGGCAGCAGUAGGGAAUAUUGCACAAUGGACGAAAGUCUGAUGCAGCAACGCCGCGUGAGUGAAGAAGGCCCUUGGGUCGUAAAGCUCUUUAGCGAGGGAAGAAGCUGAUCAUGGUGAAUAAUCAUGAUUGGUGACGGUACCUCGAGAAUAAGCACCGGCUAAUUUCGUGCCAGCAGCCGCGGUAAUACGAAAGGUGCAAGCGUUACUCGGAAUCACUGGGCGUAAAGCGCGCGUAGGUGGACUUGUAGGUCGGUUGUGAAAUACCUGGGCUCAACCCAGGAGGGGCAGCCGAAACCACAAGUCUUGAAUACUUGAGAGGGUGGGGGAAUACCUGGUGGAGAAGUGAAAUUCGUAGAGAUUAGGUGGAACACCGGAGGCGAAGGCGCCUGCCUGGCAAUGUAUUGACGCUGAAGUGCGAAAGUGCGGGGAGCAAACAGGAUUAGAUACCCUGGUAGUCCGCACCGUAAACGAUGGAUACUAGGCGUUUGGAGAAUUAACCCUCUGAGUGCCGAAGUUUACACAUUAAGUAUCCCGCCUGGGAAGUACGGUCGCAAGACUAAAACUCAAAGGAAUUGACGGGGGCCCGCACAAGCGGUGGAGUAUGUGGUUUAAUUCGAAGCAACGCGCAGAACCUUACCUGGCCUUGACAUCGCGAGACAUCCGCAGAGAUGCGGCUUUCCCUUCGGGGACUCGUAGACAGGUGCUGCAUGGCUGUCGUCAGCUCGUGUUGUGAAAUGUUCGGUUAAGUCCGGCAACGAGCGCAACCCCUGUCCUUAGUCACCAUCAUUAAGUUGGGGACUCUAGGGAGACCGCCGGUGUUAAACCGGAGGAAGGCGGGGAUGACGUCAAGUCCUCAUGGCCCUUACGGCCAGGGCUACACACGUACUACAAUGGUAGAAACAGACGGCUGCAAGACCGCAAGGUGGAGCUAAUCCGUAAAACACUAUCUCAGUCCGGAUUGAAGUCUGCAACUCGACUUCAUGAAGUUGGAAUCGCUAGUAAUCGCAGAUCAGCACGCUGCGGUGAAUACGUUCCCGGGCCUUGUACACACCGCCAU
rnacentral:rRNA from 1 species